rnacentral:rRNA from 7 species
UAGGACUCUCGGCAAUGGAUAUCUUGGCUCUUGCAUCGAUGAAGAGCGCAGCGAAAUGCGAUAGCCGUGGUGUGAAUUGCAGAAUCCCGUGAACCAUCGAGUUUUUGAACGCAAGUUGCGCCCGAGGCCAAUUGGCUAAGGGCACGUCCGCCUGGGCGUCAAGCGC